UUCCGUAGGUGAACCUGCGGAGGGAUCAUUACCGAGUUUACAACUCCCAAACCCCUGUGAACAUACCAAUUGUUGCCUCGGCGGAUCAGCCCGCUCCCGGUAAAACGGGACGGCCCGCCAGAGGACCCCUAAACUCUGUUUCUAUAUGUAACUUCUGAGUAAAACCAUAAAUAAAUCAAAACUUUCAACAACGGAUCUCUUGGUUCUGGCAUCGAUGAAGAACGCAGCAAAAUGCGAUAAGUAAUGUGAAUUGCAGAAUUCAGUGAAUCAUCGAAUCUUUGAACGCACAUUGCGCCCGCCAGUAUUCUGGCGGGCAUGCCUGUUCGAGCGUCAUUUCAACCCUCAAGCCCCCGGGUUUGGUGUUGGGGAUCGGCGAGCCCUUGCGGCAAGCCGGCCCCGAAAUCUAGUGGCGGUCUCGCUGCAGCUUCCAUUGCGUAGUAGUAAAACCCUCGCAACUGGUACGCGGCGCGGCCAAGCCGUUAAACCCCCAACUUCUGAA
rnacentral:rRNA from 1 species